ensembl:lncRNA novel transcript, antisense to CCDC40
AAUGAAACAAAAAGAACGGAUGGAAUCUGGAAUAUGGCCCAGGCAUUGGGCACCGUGCCUCUGAGGAUUAAGGGGGGGACACAGGAGGUGUCCAGCAGCCUGUGGUCAAGGCCGGGUUCUCUCCCAGGACACUGCCCGUGGCUUUUGUCCUUGGGUCGGCCUGCCUGGCUGCCGUGGCCACAGCUGAGGGCCUGGGAGGAGGCUGUGAGGCCGUGUGGCUGACCGAGUCACAUCUUGGGGUAAAGGGGCUGUGGCUGCGGGCCAAGACCUGUCUGCCCUCUGUAUUUCCCGCCAGGAAAUAGGACAAAGGCAGUUGCAGUAACUUUGGUUUCUGGUGCUACCACUACAGACCUGAAUCUGGGGCCAAGAGGGAGCAGCUUUCACCCCCUUCGUUCCCUCCACUCCCUACUCCACGAGGUGCAGAGAUGUAGGAGCUACCCGGAAGGCCGGCUGCCCACGGGGGUGAGAAUUGUUAGAAAGACUUCAGUCCUCCCCGGAAGAGGUCCCUGCAGGCUAAGGAACUUGCUGAGCAUCCCCGCAGCAAGCUGGCCUUGGCGGUCAUGAAGCGACUAGAGUACCUGAACCCUGCGAGGCCUUCUGUCACCCACUAGCCAGGGAAGGAAUAGGAAUCCGGGCUGUCCACCUGUCAGUAUCUACUGUGGCCCCACCAUGGGGAGGGCCCGAUGUUUGCAGAUGUAAGCUGGCUGCAGUCACUCAUCCAGCAGACGGGCAGGUGCAGUCUAGUAGACCCACCAGCACCCUGUGCGUGGACACUCACUGGAGGGUCGAACACUGAGAGCUGCGGGGACUGCUUUUACCUCACUCACUGCUUUCCUUAAAAUCCGGGUGUCCUCAGCUUGGGCCAAGUACUGAGCCUCAAACAGGGCAAUGUCUUCUUCCAGUUGCUGGGCUCGAGUGGUGAGCUGGUCCACAUACAGGUCCUGGGAAACAGGAUGAGAAGCAGCCCCGUCAGGAGGUGCCCGUGGCUGAGGGCCUGUUCUCCACCAACCCUUGAUACAAGUUGACGCCACCCAGGCCGGCCGCCACCCCUCCGGCCGGAAGCCUUCACGCAGGAGGCAAAGCUGAGCCCCUUUUUGAAGCUCCACGGUCUGGUGAUCAUUAAACAUGUGUCGAGUUUGCAGAAUACCUGCUUUUUCUUCUCGAUUUCUGCCCGGAUCCUCUCCGUCUCGGCCUUCUUUACCACUUGUGUCAUCACGCGGAUGUCGUCACGCAUGUCCUGGUCGAUGUUCUGCAUGUAGAAGAGAUGCAGGGCCAAGUUCUCCAUCUCAGUCUGCAGAGCCGCCACUGCGGGGCGCGGCGGGGGAGAAAGAGAGAGAGAGUGAGUGGGGAGGCUGUCCCAGCGUCCCCCAUGCAGAGACCCAGGAGGAAGCAGGGAACAGCCGUUCUGGGCACCCUUCCUGCCAUUUUUGGGUAAGACUGGGAAACUGCUUUUAAACUAUCAAGACACAGACUUUGUCAGCAAAGAGUUUACAGUCUCUUGGAAGAGACAAAAAUAUACGGAAUCUACAUCCACAAAUUGCAGCAAGCUGUUCCAUUCCCCACCAAGUCUCAGAGAUCCUCCUGGUAGUCUAAGGAUACACUGAAGUAGUGCCAGGUGGUAAGGCUUCGGGUUGAUUGCAUAGAUGUCUUACCACUGAAAGGCUGGCAACCUUAGGUGGAGUCUUAAGUCCCCUGGGAGGAGACGAGAACAUCCAGGGCAGGCUGAGCUCCACAGAUGCCCCUGCACUGACACCGCUGCACAGCAGUGCAGGCCAGAGAGGACGAGGCUAGAAGAGGCAGCAGCUUCCAUCCUGUCCCAAGUUAAGUGACAGAUUUAUGUCAGUGCUCUCAGAGGAGGCCAAGGCCCGAGGAACUGAUUCCUUUAACAAAACUUGCAUGAGAUGGAUUUCUUUUUUUUUUUUUGAGACGAAAUCUCGCUCUGUCGCCCAGGCUGGAGUGCAGUGGCGCGAUCUCGACUCACUGCAAGCUCCGCCCCCAGGGUUCACGCCAU